UUGUCACGUCCUGCUUCCGCUGGCCGUUCGCGGUGGAGUAUUGCUCCAGGACCCUUUACUUCGGACUGCUUUCAUUUCCUGUAUGCUUGGUGUCUUACCCAAGAAAUCAUUGCCAAGACCAAUGUCAAGGAUUUUUCCCUGUGUUUUCUUCUAAGAGUUUUACACUUUCAGUAUUUCUGAUUCUAUAAAAGUAUUCCCGGGCUUCCCUGGUGGCGCAGUGGUUGAGAGUCUGCCUGCCAAUGCAGUGGACACGGGUUCGAGCCCUGGUCCGGGAGGAUCCCAUAUGCCGCGGAGCAACUAAGCCCGUGAGCCGCAGUUACUGAGCCUGCGCGUCUGGAGCCUGUGGUCCGCAACGAGAGAGGCCACGAUAGUGAGAGGCCCGCGCACCGCGAUGAAGAGUGGCCCCCACUUGCCGCAACUGGAGAAAGCCCUCGCACAGAAACGAAGACCCAACACAGCCAUAAAUAAUAAAUAAAAAAAAAAAAACUUAAAAAACAAAAAGUAUAAGUAUAAAAAAAUAAAAAAUAAAAAAAACAAGAAAGAAAAAAAAAAAAAAAGUAUUCCCUUUUAUACUGCCUGUAUAAAACAUUUUAUAUCACUGUUAAUUCUACUAAAGAACUGCUUUUUCUUUACGGUAUGAAUUCCGACUGAUGGAAUACAUGCCCUUAAAAUAGGUUUCCUUUAUCCAAUAAAAUUAAGGUUACUGAUAAGUUUCUUGGCUUUAGGGCUGGGCAAGUUGCUACUAGCACAUUUUAGGUAAAUAACAUUCUUCACUAAACACUGUGAGAUCAUUCAUUUGAAACUUUCAGAAUAAUUCAUAGAAAAUAGAUAAUAUAUUAAAUUACACACUGAAUGGUCAAUCUACAACUAUAGAAAUUUAUAUAUGAAGCAGCUCUUUAAAGAAAUAAGACCCACAAAUAUGU